rnacentral:rRNA from 1 species
CCUACGGGAGGCAGCAGUAGGGAAUAUUGCUCAAUGGGGGAAACCCUGAAGCAGCAACGUCGCGUGGAGGAUGAAGGUUUUCGGAUUGUAAACUCCUUUUGUUAGAGAAGAUAAUGACGGUAUCUGAGGAAUAAGAUCCGACUAACUUCGUGCCAGCAGCGGCGGUAAUACGGAGGGUGCAAGCGUUACUCGGAAUGACUGGGCGUUAAGAGGGCGUAGGCGGGAUAGCAAGUCAGUUGUGAAAUCCUAUGGCUUAACCAUAGAACUGCAUUUGAAACUGUUAUUCUAGAGUAUGGGAGAGGUAGGUGGAAUUCGUGGGGUAGGGGGAAAAUCCGUAGAGAUCAAGAGGAAUACUCAUUGCGAAGGCGACCUGCUAGAACAUAACUGACGCUGAUGCACGAAAGCGUGUGGAGCAAACAGGAUUAGAUACCCCAGUAGUC